rnacentral:rRNA from 1 species
CAACAUUGUACAGUGGAUCACUAGGCUCGGGGGUCGAUGAAGAACGCAGCUAACUGCGCGUCGGAAUGUGAACUGCAGGAUAUAUGAGCAUCGACACUUUGAACGCAUAUUGCGGAACGGCGCUUGUCGUCUUUCCAUGUCUGGCUCAGGGUCGGUUAUACAUCCAUCC